rnacentral:rRNA from 1 species
UGCCAGCCGCCGCGGUAAUACAGAAGGCCCGAGCGUUAAUCAGAAUCACUGGGCUUAAAGCGUGCGCAGGCUGUCCAGCAAGCAUCCCGUGAAAUCCCUCGGCUCAACCGGGGAACUGCGGGGUGAACUGCUGGACUUGAGAAAGGUAGGGGCUGAUGGAACCAUGAGUGGAGCGGUGAAAUGCGUAGAUAUUCAUGGGAACGCCGAUGGGGAAGCCGAUCAGCUGGGCCUUUUCUGACGCUCAUGCACGAAAGCGUGGGGAGCAAACAGGAUUAGAUA